rnacentral:tRNA from 4 species
GCGCCAAUAGCUCAGCUGGAUAGAGCACCUGCCUUCUAAGCAGGGGGUCAGGGGUUCGAGUCCCUUUUGGCGCGCCA